rnacentral:misc_RNA from 1 species
UCCGAUUUGUGAUCGGCAGUCUCGCCAGAGUGCCCAACUUAAUGCUGGCAACACGCCACGGGGGUUGCGCUCGUUGCGGGACUUAACCCAACACCUCACGGCACGAGCUGACAACAGCCAUGCACCACCUGUACACCUGCCCCGAAGGGCUGCCGUAUUUCUACGGCAUUCAGGUGCAUGUCAAGCCCUGGUAAGGUUCUUCGCGUUGCGUCGAAUUAAACCACAUGCUCCGCUGCUUGUGCGGGCCCCCGUCAAUUCCUUUGAGUUUUAGCCUUGCGGCCGUACUCCCCAGGCGGGGCGCUUAAUGCGUUAGCUUCGGCACGGACGGAGUCGACACCGCCCACACCUAGCGCCCAUCGUUUACGGCGUGGACUAC